rnacentral:rRNA from 1 species
CCUACGGGAGGCAGCAGUAGGGAAUCUUCCACAAUGGGCGAAAGCCUGAUGGAGCAACGCCGCGUGGGUGAAGAAGGUCUUCGGAUCGUAAAACCCUGUUGUUAGAGAAGAAAGUGCGUGAGAGUAACUGUUCACGUUUCGACGGUAUCUAACCAGAAAGCCACGGCUAACUACGUGCCAGCAGCCGCGGUAAUACGUAGGUGGCAAGCGUUAUCCGGAUUUAUUGGGCGUAAAGGGAACGCAGGCGGUCUUUUAAGUCUGAUGUGAAAGCCUUCGGCUUAACCGGGGUAGUGCAUUGGAAACUGGGGGACUUGAGUGCAGAAGAGGAGAGUGGAACUCCAUGUGUAGCGGUGAAAUGCGUAGAUAUAUGGAAGAACACCAGUGGCGAAAGCGGCUCUCUGGGCUGUAACUGACGCUGAGGUUCGAAAGCGUGGGUAGCAAACAGGAUUAGAUACCCUAGUAGUC